UGCAAAACCGAUACGAUUCGUCGACUCA
rnacentral:piRNA from 1 species